UGAACGGUUAAAGCCAUAUCACAUGUGU
rnacentral:sRNA from 1 species